rnacentral:lncRNA from 10 species
GUGAGAAAGAAGCUGAGUCAAGCCCUCUCUUUGGGUAAUUCAUGCAUCAGCACACUCGCCAACUCUCCUGGCAACCAAGAAAGCACUUUAACUCAGAGCGGCAUCGCCACCAACAAGCAUUCUGCAGCCAUCUAAAAGGACGCAACUGAGUUUAAAACGGGUAACAUACCUUGGAGAGCAAUUUCUACACUGGGGUCUGCAGGGCUGAAUCGAGAAAUCCGCACCAUCUUAGAAGUGCAUCGCAUCACUGGUAAGCUGGUCACCUGGAAGCAACGCAUCAGUUAGCCACUGAAAAGGGGUAAUAUUUAUUGACAUACUUUGGAAAAGACUGGAUGAGUUGCUCUGCGACUUCCCACUCUAACAUAUGUUUCUCUGAGUUUCUACAACUUCAGCUAAAUGUUUUAAGGAAGAAAAGAACAACAGAAUAUGUGCUAAUUUUGAUUGAUUGAUGCUCCCUCCUAUAGCAGCAUACAAAUUUUAGAGUGGGAGAAAAAUCUAUUACGAUUUCAAUGAAAUGAGCUAUUUUAUCUUGUCCCUAUGUGGUACCAUCAACAUUUUAGACAGAUGAACACCAAACCAUUGACUGAAUUGCUGCAUAGUGGAUUUGCCUUGAUUAUAAAGACAGUUGAAUGACCAGGGUACCUCUGGCAAUUUUGGCAAUCAAUAAGUAACAUGAAUCAACUAUGUAGUGGUCAGACUGGCUACCCAGUGCUCAAUCAAAACAGAAAAUAACAGAGAUAAGUUAAUCCUUAGGUUGCAGGACUAUACCAUGAUACCAGCAUAAAACUCAAAUGGACAUUCAUGAUGAAAAAAUGUUAAUGCUAUCAUUAUACAAUAAACUGCUAAAAGUAUUUUUAUUAGUAAAAUACUUUCAUUUUUCUAUCAAUCUAACAACACUUAUUUUUAUCUGAAAGGAGGGUACUAUGCUAAACGUCACUGGGACUAAAAGGAUGUAGAGUAGGAAAAGGGCCAAAGAUCCUACCAGAAAAUGAUCUAGGAGCCAUAUGUUAGUUCUGUCAGUAAUUUUCUAUGUAGCUGUCAAUAAUCCUUUGUUUUCUCUUUGUAAAAAUAACUAUCCUCUGCUGGGUGCGGUGGCUCCCACCUGUAAUCCCAGCACUUUGGGAGGCUGAGACGGGUGGAUCACGAGGUCAGGAGUCUGAGGCCAGCCUGACCAACAUCGUGAAACCCCAUCUCUACUAACACUACAAAAAAAUUAGCUGGGUGUGGUGGCACGCGCCUGUAGUCCCAGCUACUCAGGAUGCUGAGGCAGGAGAAUUGCUUGAAUCUGGGAGGCAGAGGUUGCAGUGAGCCGAGAUUGCACCAUCGCACUCCAGCCUGGGUGACAAAGCGAGACUCUGUCUCAAAAAACAAACAACGACAACAACAACAAAAAACCAAAACCAAAAAAUAACAACAAGAAAAAACUAUCCUCAAGGGGCUUAUUGUUUAGUUAAUUAUAUUUACAAGUUUGGGAUUUUUGCUCCAUGCCUUCUUUUGUUACAAAAUUAUCCUUAAUUUACCUACAUAACAGAGACAAAAGUGAGUGAAUAUUUUGAUGUUCUUUAAUUAAUUACAUGCCAUAAUACCCCUCCUUCAUCUUAACUGCAGAAAUUCUGUGAGAACCUAUUGCAAUGUUUUCCCUUUUUCUCUUGAUAUGUCUCUUUCCCCUCAAGGCUGCUAAGGUUUUAAAGUGUUCUGUUUCUAUUUUUUUCAUUAAAAAUUCUAUCAGAAACCCCACUUCCUCUCAAGAGGAAAUUUAUCCAAAACCACCUCUGUGGUAUCCAAGUCAUAAGUGUGUUGGUAGUAGGAUGGCCAACUGUCCUGGUUUGCCCAGUAAUAAGGAGUUUCCUACUAUGUGGAACUUUCUGUGUUAAAAAGUGGGAUAGCUGCCGGGCUCAGUGGCUCACGCCUGUAAUCCUAGCACUUUGGGAGGCUGAGGGAUCACGAGGUCAGGAGAUCGACACCAUCCCGGCUAACACGGUAAAACCCUGUCUCUACUAAAAAUACAAAAAAUUAGCUGGGCAUGGUGGCGGGCACCUGUAGUUCCAGCUACUCGGGAGGCUGAGGCAGGAGAAUGGCGUGAACCCGGGAAGCGGAGCUUGCAGUGGGCAGAGAUCGCACCACUGCACUCCAGCCCGGGCGACAGAGCGAGACUCCAUCUCAAAAAAAAAAAAAAAAAAAAAAAAAAAAAAAAAAAAAUAGGGAUAGCUCUCUACAAACCAAGGGAGUAGGUCGCCUUGGGUGUUAGCUUGAGAGAAGGAUUGGAUAUGGCACGGAAACCUGCACCAGAGAGCUGCAAUUUUGAUCCUAUUAGAAACACUCUUCUUUCACUGCUAAGCAGCUAUGUACAACAAUCAAACACCAGAUGGAUAUAUGAAUUUAAUGACCUUUAAGUUUCCUUUACACUGGUGGUUCUCAAUUCUGGUUUCUUACUAAAAUCAUCUGGUUAGCUUUUUAAAAAGUGCUCCCUGAUUUAACUGAUUUGAAGGUGAGUCUUUGCCAUGGGCAUACAUGUUUGAAGUUCCCCAGCCAAUUCUCAUGUAAGUCAGAGUUAAGAAACACUACUUUAUACACAUUCUGAGAUUCAAACUAUAGGCCUAGCAAGAGCUGUUUAAAGCAAGGAGAAAUCUACUUUGUGAUCUCUGACUUGUUAAUUAUUACAUGCAAGUUUCUACUUCAACUUUAAAACAAAUGAGAACCUGCAAACUGACUUUAUGUAUUCAUCUACAUUCAUUUAUUCACCUAGGGUUCAUGAUCUAUAAGCAUCUCCCUUGUCAUGUUUGUAUUCUGAACAUCAAUCACCACCAUCUAUUGAUAUAUAUAUUUUUUUCUUACAAGAAACUGUAUUAGGCACCGUGGGGUAUAAUGAUUUAAAUUGCAAGGUCUCUGUCCUCACGGACUCUAUAAGUAGAAUAUAUGAAAGGUGACUACAUGAUCAAGGCAAAUGACCCCACCGCCAACCAAGGAGGACGUGGUCAUGGCCUGGGAUGGUUAGGAAAUCUUCAUAGAGCAGGUAUGAUUUUUAAGGGGCUUUGAGGACUGGGUGGAAUUUUAAUUAGAGAGCCAUAAAUAAAAACUACAAAAAGGGAGAAAAGCAGUUUGAGAAUGAGUAGGGAGGAAUCAGUUUACCAAAGUUAAGUAUGUAUACAAAUAAUACAGUUCACCUUUUGAGCCAUGCAAACUGUAUCUAAGGAGGCACAGAACCUUGUAUGAGACCAACUGCUGAGCAAGGAAAUGUAAUUAGCGCAAUCACUUUUUUGGUGCUAAUUACUUAAGACAUUGAAAAAGAGGAUUAGACUGACCAAUGAAACAAUUGGUUCUGGAUAAACAUACAAAGCUUGGUCUGUAAUGUGGAGAACAAGCCACUGAAUAGCAAUAGCCAAGCCCCUUCCCUCUGGUGCUGGGCCCACUCAAGAGACCUGAUCACACAGACAGUGAGGCAGGUGCUGCAUAGAUCACUGCAAGAACCCCGAGGGACCCACUCUAUCUGAUCCAGUGAGAUGAUUUAGGGUUGAAGAAAUAAAUUUAGAACACAAGUCAUGUAAAAAGUACAUGUUACUUUAUAUGUGAUGUUAUGUGAUUAUCAGUCAUUGAUUUUCAAUUACUUUUAUAAUGCAAGAGCUUUUCUUCUGGAUUUCAGAAUUUAAGAAUUUCUGCGCCAUUUGUCUUUGCCUACGAAAAUAGUUAAUUCUCAUAUUUAUUCCAAUAGCUGGUCUUCAUGUAAGAUAUUAACUAAAUGCCCAUUAAUAGUCUGGGUAUGCAACUCAGGAAGUCAGUUGGCAAAAUUAACAUUUAGAAGUAGGCACCACUGGUUAUUUCACACAUUAUUAACUUAUAUUACAAUUCAAAUAAGCUUACAGCUGGCAAAAAAAUCUCUUCUGUAAAGCGAUCUCAAACAUAAUAGGCUUAAUCAGAGAUAAAUUAAAUUAGGCAGCCAUGCAUACUACAGCAUAUUAAUUCUGAGUAGUUAUUACUACAUUUUCUGUUAUCACUGGUGUGAACAACAUUAUGUGCAAACAAAUUCUUCGAGAGGGUAGCAAAUAAAGUUUAUGUUUGGGAUGCCAUGUGCCUAGCAUUUUCCCAUGUUUUCUUAAAAUGUUAAAUAAUCUUUUCUGCUAAUAAUGGCACUAGGUUAAGUCCCCAUAAACGAGUCAACCUCACUCCCAGGAAAUUAAACAAAUGAACAUCAG